UACGGGGGGGGGCAAGCGUUUGUUCGGAAUUACUGGGCGUAAAGGGCGCGUAGGCGGACAUCUAAGUCAGGGGUGAAAUCCCAGGGCUCAACCCUGGAAUUGCCUUUGAUACUGGACGUCUCGAGUUCGGGAGAGGUGAGUGGAAUUCCGAGUGUAGAGGUGAAAUUCGUAGAUAUUCGGAGGAACACCAGAAGCGAAGGCGGCUCACUGGCCCGAUACUGACGCUGAGGAGCGAAAGCCAGGGGAGCAAACGGG
rnacentral:rRNA from 1 species